rnacentral:rRNA from 1 species
ACAUGCAAGUCGAACGGUGAAGGCGGAGCUUGCUCUGCCGGAUCAGUGGCGAACGGGUGAGUAACACGUGGGCAACCUGCCCUUCACUCGUGGGACUAACCCCGGGAAACCGGGGCUAAUACCGGAUACCGACCCCUGCAGGCAUCUGCGGGGGUGGAAAGUUUUCGGUGAAGGGUGGGCCCGCGGCCUAUCAGCUUGUUGGUGAGGUAAUGGCUCACCAAGGCAACGACGGGUAGCCGGCCUGAGAGGGCGACCGGCCACACUGGGACUGAGACACGGCCCAGACUCC